rnacentral:lncRNA from 1 species
UGUGAGGAGACCAGUGACAGCAAGAGGUUCUUGGGGGAAAACACAAAUGGUGCUACUCUGAAUUAGACCAUCCAAGAAUUCUACCAUGAGAAGCUGGAGGAAAUAAAGGACAAGAAGAAGUUCUGCAGGUUGUAUGUAGAAGACCUGUCGAAGGAAGCCACAGCCAUCAACAUGAAAAACGAGGCUCUGCAGAAGCUGUGGCCACAGAUGUGCAUGGAGCUUGUCAAGGAUGCCGUCAUAGAGAUCCACAGCAAAGAUUCCUACAUGAAACUCUGCCUGCAGCAGAUCACUGACCAGA